rnacentral:tRNA from 1 species
GAUGUAGCUCAAUGGAUUAGAGCACCAGAUUACGGAUCUGGGGGUUGCGGGUUCGAAUCCGGCCAUC